AGCGAACGCUGGCGGCAGGCUUAACACAUGCAAGUCGAACGCCCCGCAAGGGGAGUGGCAGACGGGUGAGUAACACGUGGGAACGUACCCUUUGGUUCGGAAUAACUUGGGGAAACUCAAGCUAAUACCGGAUAAGCCCUUAUGGGGAAAGGUUUACUGCCGAAGGAUCGGCCCGCGUCUGAUUAGCUAGUUGGGGAGGUAAUGGCUCACCAAGGCGACGAUCAGUAGCUGGUCUGAGAGGAUGAUCAGCCACACUGGGACUGAGACACGGCCCAGACUCCUACGGGAGGCAGCAGUGGGGAAUAUUGGACAAUGGGGGCAACCCUGAUCCAGCCAUGCCGCGUGAGUGAUGAAGGCCUUAGGGUUGUAAAGCUCUUUUACCCGGGACGAUAAUGACUGUACCGGGAGAAUAAGCCCCGGCUAACUUCGUGCCAGCCGCCGCCGUAA
rnacentral:rRNA from 1 species